CCAGUGAUAUCAUCAAGACUAAUGAUCAAUGGUCAAAUCCAAUACUUUUCAUAGAGAAGCAUUGUGGACAUAUUGUGCAUGUGUAGCAAUUGCUUUGAUCUGCCAGUCCAUUGACUGUCUAUGAAAAAGCAUGAGAAUCAUCAGCCAUGCUCAGGGGAUAUAAGAUGAACUCGUGGCAUGAGAAAGGCGUGUAAGAGACGAAACUUUGCCAUUUUGAUCCUGAUUAAAAUGAGCAAUUUCUUCUAUUAUCUUAAUUUGUAUCCCAUCUAGUUUGUUAGGCAAUACAAGAUUUAUCCUUGAG